AGAACUUAGAACCCAGGUGACUUCUAGAGUGCACCAUUCAGUCGUCUUGCCCAUAUUUACUGAGGAGUUUGGUAUUAAUUGGAGGAAAGAAACCCUCCACAGAACCCAUAAUUACUGAAUUUGCACCUAUUGUGAUGUUGGGCAUUUUGCAUCAGAAAAGCCAUCUUCCCCAAAGCUUGUGAUGCUGUUAUGCGAGAGGGAAGGUGUUGGAGGAGUUUGUCAAGGAGAUGAGACCUCUGGUUGACUUGUGAGCUUGAUUCAGCAAUGAGUCUCCUAUACCCUCGCCUCCCCUAGGAAUGUAUGGACUGCUCACUGUUCCCACCAUGGGAGCCCGUUUUCAAGGAUGCAGUCUUGUGAAAGCAAUGUGUUGUUGAGACCAUCUGGACUGAAUAAAUGACUGAACCUAACUUCUCUGCAGUUUUAGGAUUCUGGUGGGCAGGUGUGGAAAUCCAUCCAUCAUGCAGCUGCCUGAGACAAGCCUUGAAUCAAGUGCCCUUGCUUAUUAAACCUGCCACCUACCUGUGUGGANGCUGCCUGAGACAAGCCUUGAAUCAAGUGCCCUUGCUUAUUAAACCUGCCACCUCCCUGUGUGGUCUGUCUCUUUGUUCCUUCCUCAUCAGCUUGGAGCCAGUUUCAGAUUUCAUCCAGGAAGCUUCUGAAUUUCCAAACCAACUGAAGGAUGCCUUCAUGUUUUGUGCCGUAAUUCCUUUCACCAGUGAACAGCUUUAUACGAUUCAACUCACUCUAUUUGAAGUGAGAAAUGGAAACAAGUAGAGAAGCUGAGUUGAAGAGCCAAAGAAAUAUGAAAUAAAUACUUGUAAGUAAUUCA
rnacentral:lncRNA from 1 species